AUUGAACGCUGGCGGCAGGCCUAACACAUGCAAGUCGAGCGGUAACAGAACUAGCUUGCUAGUUGCUGACGAGCGGCGGACGGGUGAGUAACGCGUAGGAAUCUGCCCGGUAGCGGGGGAUAGCCCAGAGAAAUUUGGAUUAAUACCGCAUACGCCCUACGGGGGAAAGCAGGGGAUCUUCGGACCUUGCGCUAUCGGAUGAGCCUGCGUCGGAUUAGCUAGUUGGUGGGGUAAUGGCCUACCAAGGCGACGAUCCGUAGCUGGUCUGAGAGGAUGAUCAGCCACACCGGAACUGAGACACGGUCCGGACUCCUACGGGAGGCAGCAGUGGGGAAUAUUGCACAAUGGGCGCAAGCCUGAUGCAGCCAUGCCGCGUGUGUGAAGAAGGCCUUCGGGUUGUAAAGCACUUUCAGUAGGGAGGAAAGGUUGUAGAUUAAUACUCUGCAGCUGUGACGUUACCUACAGAAGAAGCACCGGCUAACUCCCGUGCCAGCAGCCCGCGGUAAUACGGAGGGUGCAAGCGUUAAUCGGAAUUACUGGGCGUAAAGCGCGCGUAGGCGGCUUGUUAAGCCAGAUGUGAAAGCCCCGGGCUCAACCUGGGAACUGCAUUUGGAACUGGCAGGCUAGAGUACAGAAGAGGGUGGUAGAAUUUCCUGUGUAGCGGUGAAAUGCGUAGAUAUAGGAAGGAAUACCAGUGGCGAAGGCGGCCACCUGGUCUGAUACUGACGCUGAGGUGCGAAAGCGUGGGGAGCAAACAGGAUUAGAUACCCUGGUAGUCCACGCCGUAAACGAUGUCGACUAGCCGUUGGGACCCUUGAGGUCUUAGUGGCGCAGCUAACGCGUUAAGUCGACGCCUGGGGAGUACGGUCGCAAGAUUA
rnacentral:rRNA from 1 species